rnacentral:rRNA from 1 species
UUUGGUGAUGAUGGCGGAAGGGAACCACGCGUACCCAUCCCGAACACGACCGUUAAGCCUUCCAGCGCCGAUGGUACUCGGACCGCAGGGUCCCGGGAGAGUAGGACGUCGCCAAGC